GCAAGUCGAACGCGAAAUCACCUUCGGGUGAAAGUAGAGUGGCGGACGGGUGAGUAACGCGUGGGAAUUUGCCUAGAAGUGGGGGACAACUCGGGGAAACUCGAGCUAACACCGCAUACGCCCUACGGGGGAAAGGAUCGGCCGCUAUUAGAUGAGCCUGCGUCAGAUUAGCUUGUUGGUAGGGUAAUGGCCUACCAAGGCGACGAUCUGUAGCUGGUCUGAGAGGACGAAC
rnacentral:rRNA from 1 species